GCCAGGCGCGGUGGCUCACGCCUGUAAUCCCAGCACUUGGGAGGCCGAGGCAGGUGGAUCACCUGAGGUCAGGAGUUCGGGACUAGCCUGACCGACAUGGAGAAACCCUGUCUCUA
rfam:Gorilla gorilla gorilla genomic chromosome, chr11, whole genome shotgun sequence